UCCUGGUUAGCUCAGGCGGUAGAGCAACCGCCCCAGGAAGGCGUUGGUCCCGGGUUCGAGUCCUGGACCAGGAC